rnacentral:rRNA from 1 species
UACGAAGGGGGCUAGCGUUGCUCGGAAUGACUGGGCGUAAAGGGCGCGUAGGCGGCUCAUACAGUCAGAUGUGAAAUUCCUGGGCUUAACCUGGGGGGCUGCAUUUGAUACGUGUGGGCUUGAGUGGGGAAGAGGGUCGUGGAAUUCCCAGUGUAGAGGUGAAAUUCGUAGAUAUUGGGAAGAACACCGGUGGCGAAGGCGGCGACCUGGUCCUUGACUGACGCUGAGGCGCGAAAGCGUGGGGGAGCAAACAGG